rnacentral:rRNA from 1 species
AAACCAGCACCUCAAGUGGUCAGGAUGAUUAUUGGGCCUAAAGCAUCCGUAGCCGGCUCUGUAAGUUUUCGGUUAAAUCUGUACGCUCAACGUACAGGCUGCCGGGAAUACUGCAGAGCUAGGGAGUGUGAGAGGUAGACGGUACUCGGGAGGAAGUGGUAAAAUGCUUUGAUCUCUCGAUGACCACCUGUGGCGAAGGCGGUCUAUCAGAACACGUCCGACGGUGAGGGAUGAAAGCUGGGGGAGCAAACCGAAUUAGAUACCCUAGUAGUCC